GGGCCAUGUAGUGGAAUAGAGGUACCUGGCUUCGGGCGAGACUUGGACUACCAUGAAAGAAUGUUUGGUCACUUCUGCAGGAGAAUCCCAUAAGAUCAUAGCAAAGAGAGUAUCAGUAACAAGUGCUGAAAGUAAAGAAGUGCCUUUCGCCUCCCGCCAUGAUUCUGAGGCCUCCCCAGCCAUGUGGAACAAUUCUUGUGCUGUCACCCAGGCUGGAGUGCAAUGUUGAAAUCUCAGCUCACUGCAACUUCUGCUUCCCGGAUUCAAGCAAUUCUUGUGUCUCAGCCUCCUAAGAAGCUGAGAUUACAGGUUACCAUGCUUCAUCUGCCAAUGCAUUGAAAACUUGGAAUGUAAAUUAAUUCAACCAUUGCGGAAGAUGGUGUAGUGAUUCCUCAAAGACCUAGAAGCAGAAAUAUCAUUUGAUCCAGAAAUCCCAUUACUGUGUAUACACCCAAAGGAAUAUAAACCAUUCUAUUACAAAGAUACAUGCGUGCGUAUGUUCAUUGCAGCAUUAUUCACAAUAGUAAAGACAUAGAGUCAACCCAAAUGCCCAUCAAUGACAAAGAAUAUGUGGUACAUAUACACCAUGGAAUACCAUGCACCCAUAAAAAGGAACAAGAUCACGAUUUUUGUAGGGACAUGGAUGGAGCUGGAAGGCAUCGUCCUCAGCAAAAUAACAUAGGAACAGAAAACCAAACACCCCAUGUCCUCACUUAUAAGUGGGAGGUAAACAAUGAGAACACAUGGACACAGGGAGAGGAACAACACACAUUGGGGCCUGUUGUGGGGUGGGGUGGGGGAGAGACAGCAUUAGGAAAAGUAGCUAACUCAUGCUGGGCUCAAUGCAUAGGUGAUGGAUUGAUAGGUGCAGCAAACCACCAUGGCACAUGGUUACCUAUGUAACAAGCUUGCACAUCCUGCACAUGUA